rnacentral:tRNA from 1 species
UCCCCCUUCGUCCAAUGGCAGGACACCCGUAAAACAUACAGGUUAUGGUGGUUCGAAUCCAUCGGGGGGAGCCA